AGCGGCGGACGGGUGAGUAAUGCUUAGGAAUCUGCCUAUUAGUGGGGGACAACAUCUCGAAAGGGAUGCUAAUACCGCAUACGUCCUACGGGAGAAAGCAGGGGAUCUUCGGACCUUGCGCUAAUAGAUGAGCCUAAGUCGGAUUAGCUAGUUGGUGGGGUAAAGGCCUACCAAGGCGACGAUCUGUAGCGGGUCUGAGAGGAUGAUCCGCCACACUGGGACUGAGACACGGCCCAGACUCCUACGGGAGGCAGCAGUGGGGAAUAUUGGACAAUGGGGGGAACCCUGAUCCAGCCAUGCCGCGUGUGUGAAGAAGGCCUUAUGGUUGUAAAGCACUUUAAGCGAGGAGGAGGCUACUUUAGUUAAUACCUAGAGAUAGUGGACGUUACUCGCAGAAUAAGCACCGGCUAACUCUGUGCCAGCAGCCGCGGUAAUACAGAGGGUGCGAGCGUUAAUCGGAUUUACUGGGCGUAAAGCGUGCGUAGGCGGCUUAUUAAGUCGGAUGUGAAAUCCCCGAGCUUAACUUGGGAAUUGCAUUCGAUACUGGUGAGCUAGAGUAUGGGAGAGGAUGGUAGAAUUCCAGGUGUAGCGGUGAAAUGCGUAGAGAUCUGGAGGAAUACCGAUGGCGAAGGCAGCCAUCUGGCCUAAUACUGACGCUGAGGUACGAAAGCAUGGGGAGCAAACAGGAUUAGAUACCCUGGUAGUCCAUGCCGUAAACGAUGUCUACUAGCCGUUGGGGCCUUUGAGGCUUUAGUGGCGCAGCUAACGCGAUAAGUAGACCGCCUGGGGAGUACGGUCGCAAGACUAAAACUCAAAUGAAUUGACGGGGGCCCGCACAAGCGGUGGAGCAUGUGGUUUAAUUCGAUGCAACGCGAAGAACCUUACCUGGCCUUGACAUACUAGAAACUUUCCAGAGAUGGAU
rnacentral:rRNA from 1 species